rnacentral:rRNA from 2 species
CCUACGGGAGGCAGCAGUGGGGAAUAUUGGACAAUGGGCGAAAGCCUGAUCCAGCCAUGCCGCGUGUGUGAAGAAGGUCUUCGGAUUGUAAAGCACUUUAAGUUGGGAGGAAGGGCAGUUACCUAAUACGUGAUUGUUUUGACGUUACCGACAGAAUAAGCACCGGCUAACUCUGUGCCAGCAGCCGCGGUAA